GACGAACGCUGGCGGCGUGCUUAACACAUGCAAGUCGAACGGACAGGCCCUGCUUUUGUGGGGUGCUCGAUUGGCGAACGGGUGAGUAACACGUGAGUAACCUGCCCUUGACUUUGGGAUAACUUCAGGAAACUGGGGCUAAUACCGGAUAGGAGCUCCUGCUGCAUGUUGGGGGUUGGAAAGUUUCGGCGGUUGGGGAUGGACUCGCGGCUUAUCAGCUUGUUGGUGGGGUAGUGGCUUACCAAGGCUUUGACGGGUAGCCUGCCUGAGAGGGGGACCGGCCACAUUGGGACUGAGAUACGGAGCAGACUCCUACGGGAGGCAGCAGGGGGGAAUAUGGCACAAUGGGCGGAAGCCUGAUGCAGCAACGCCGCGUGCGGGAUGACGGCCUUCGGGUUGUAAACCGCUUUCGCCUGUGACGAAGCGUGAGUGACGGUAAUGGGUAAAGAAGCACCGGCUAACUACGUG
rnacentral:rRNA from 1 species